AUGAACGCUAGCUACAGGCUUAACACAUGCAAGUCGAGGGGCAGCAUGGUCUUAGCUUGCUAAGGCUGAUGGCGACCGGCGCACGGGUGAGUAACACGUAUCCAACCUGCCGUCUACUCUUGGCCAGCCUUCUGAAAGGAAGAUUAAUCCAGGAUGGGAUCAUGAGUUCACAUGUCCGCAUGAUUAAAGGUAUUUUCCGGUAGACGAUGGGGAUGCGUUCCAUUAGAUAGUAGGCGGGGUAACGGCCCACCUAGUCAACGAUGGAUAGGGGUUCUGAGAGGAAGGUCCCCCACAUUGGAACUGAGACACGGUCCAAACUCCUACGGGAGGCAGCAGUGAGGAAUAUUGGUCAAUGGGCGAUGGCCUGAACCAGCCAAGUAGCGUGAAGGAUGACUGCCCUAUGGGUUGUAAACUUCUUUUAUAAAGGAAUAAAGUCGGGUAUGCAUACCCGUUUGCAUGUACUUUAUGAAUAAGGAUCGGCUAACUCCGUGCCAGCAGCCGCGGUAAUACGGAGGAUCCGAGCGUUAUCCGGAUUUAUUGGGUUUAAAGGGAGCGUAGAUGGAUGUUUAAGUCAGUUGUGAAAGUUUGCGGCUCAACCGUAAAAUUGCAGUUGAUACUGGAUGUCUUGAGUGCAGUUGAGGCAGGCGGAAUUCGUGGUGUAGCGGUGAAAUGCUUAGAUAUCACGAAGAACUCCGAUUGCGAAGGCAGCCUGCUAAGCUGCAACUGACAUUGAGGCUCGAAAGUGUGGGUAUCAAACAGGAUUAGAUACCCUGGUAGUCCACACGGUAAACGAUGAAUACUCGCUGUUUGCGAUAUACGGCAAGCGGCCAAGCGAAAGCGUUAAGUAUUCCACCUGGGGAGUACGCCGGCAACGGUGAAACUCAAAGGAAUUGACGGGGGCCCGCACAAGCAGUGGAUUAUGUGGUUUAAUUCGAAGCAACGCGAAGAACCUUACCAGGUCUUGACAUCCGACUAACGAGAUAGAGAUAUGUCAGGUGCCCUUCGGGGAAAGUCGAGACAGGUGGUGCAUGGUUGUCGUCAGCUCGUGUCGUGAGAUGUUGGGUUAAGUCCCGCAACGAGCGCAACCCUUAUUGCCAGUUACUACGUUAAGAGGACUCUGGCGAGACUGCCGUUGACAAAACGGAGGAAGGUGGGGACGACGUCAAAUCAUCAUGCCCUUUAUGUCCUGGGCUACACACGUACUACAAUGGCUAUAACAAAGAGAAGCGAGACCGCGAGGUGGAGCAAAACUCAAAAAAGUAGUCUCAGUUCGGAUUGUAGACUGAAAUUCGUCUACAUGAAGCUGGAAUUGCUAGUAAUGGCAGGUCAGCAUACUGCCGUGAAUACGUUCCCGGGCCUUGUACACACCGCCCGUCACACCAUGGGAGUUUGUAACACCCGAAGUCAGUGACCCAACCGCAAGGAGGGAGCUGCCGAAGGUGGGACCGAUAACUGGGGUG
rnacentral:rRNA from 1 species